rnacentral:lncRNA from 1 species
CAGCUCUUUCCCUCUCCUCCCCCUCCUCCUCCUUCUCCUCCUCCUCCUCCUGCUCCCCUCCGUUGCCUGUUCUCCCCUCCCGCACUCCUGGAGAUAGACGCUCAAGCCUGACGCCUCUGAAAAGGCAGCAGCAGUCGCCUUAUCCAUAGACCUCAGGAAAUUCGCUUUGACUGAUGCAUGCUUCAGGCUCUGGCUCAAGCUAAGGGGAAUAACCGGGCAGAUAUCUGGGUCCUUAAAAAAGACAAGAUACAAGCAAAGUGCAUCACCAACACACAACCAAUUGAUGUGCUGUCAUCUUAGUUUGGCCCUGCAGAGGCGGAGAGAAAAGAAGAGGAGCUGUUGCGAUUUCCACAUCUAACAGCUUCUGGCUAUUUCGCAACUGCUGGGUUUGAGUCCUACUGUUGCUGUGGCUGAAAAGAAAAGUAAAAUCUAACUUGUGAGACCAUGCACAAGGAAUUAGGCUUGGUUGCAGCGGUGCCGAAGCCCAUGCUAUGACAGAAGAAGCUGGCCUUUGAAGCUAUCCUCGGGUUAGGAAGUGGUGCCUAAAGAGGCAAGCAUCCCUUUCUCCGUUCUGCUUUAAGACACCACAUCUGAAGGAGACACACUUGAGGCACUCACAAGCAUCCAAGGAUACUGGCUCACUGCUGGUUUCCUGCACUUUCUAGAGAAAAGUGUUUGCUUUUUAUUGACUCUCACUGCUUCCUUUUGGCCUGGUACCACUGGUGGAACCUGGCAGACAAUGGGAUUUGAGGAGUUAAGUAUCUGUUGACACCACAGAUGCUCUUAAAUUAGUUAAUCAGACUCAAAUGGGUCAGUGCUUUCCCUUGAUCUUUUGUUGAAGCUUUUUCCAGAACGUUUUCUCCAAAGUGCAUCCUCCCUUUGGUCUGGAAGUUCUGUGGCUACCCUGUACCACUGGGGUCAACGUUUUCCAGUUGGAAGAGGACUACAGGGAGAGAGGGAGGGGUUAUUGGAAGAAGAAGAAGAAAAAAAGAACUAAAUAAAGGCGGACACAUCCGUUCCA